UUGAUCCUGGCUCAGGAUGAACGCUAGCGGCAGGCUUAAUACAUGCAAGUCGAGGGGCAGCAGCUUUAUAGCAAUAUAGAGGCUGGCGACCGGCAAACGGGUGCGGAACACGUACACAACCUUCCUUUAAGAGGGGGAUAGCCCAUAGAAAUGUGGAUUAAUACCCCGUAAUAUUAUUGAAGUGGCAUCACUUUAUAAUUAUAGUUACGACGCUUGAAGAUGGGUGUGCGGCUGAUUAGGUAGUUGGCGGGGUAAAGGCCCACCAAGCCUUCGAUCAGUAGCUGAUGUGAGAGCCUGAUCAGCCACACGGGCACUGAGACACGGGCCCGACUCCUACGGGAGGCAGCAGUAAGGAAUAUUGGUCAAUGGACGCAAGUCUGAACCAGCCAUGCCGCGUGAAGGAUGAAGGUCCUCUGGAUUGUAAACUUCUUUUAUAGGGGGCGAAAAAAGGGAAUUCUUUCUCACUUGACAGUACCCUAUGAAUAAGCACCGGCUAACUCCGUGCCAGCAGCCGCGGUAAUACGGAGGGUGCAAGCGUUAUCCGGAUUCACUGGGUUUAAAGGGUGCGUAGGCGGGUUUAUAAGUCAGUGGUGAAAUCCUGGAGCUUAACUCCAGAACUGCCAUUGAUACUAUGGAUCUUGAAUAUGGUGGAGGUAAGCGGAAUAUGUCAUGUAGCGGUGAAAUGCAUAGAUAUGACAUAGAACACCUAUUGCGAAGGCAGCUUACUACGCCUAUAUUGACGCUGAGGCAC
rnacentral:rRNA from 1 species